rnacentral:rRNA from 1 species
CAGCAGCAGCCGCGGUAAAACGGAGGGUGCAAGCGUUAAUCGGAAUUACUGGGCGUAAAGCGCACGCAGGCGGUUUGUUAAGUCAGAGGUGAAAGCCCAGGGCUCAACCUUGGAAUUGCCUUUGAUACUGGCUAUCUUGAGUAUGGGAGAGGUUAGCGGAACUCCGAGUGUAGAGGUGAAAUUCGUAGAUAUUCGGAAGAACACCAGUGGCGAAGGCGGCUAACUGGCCCAUUACUGACGCUGAGGCUCGAAAGCGUGGGGAGCAAACAGGAUUAGAUACCCGCGUAGUCCCUGUCUCUUAUAC